rnacentral:rRNA from 1 species
GACAGAGGGGGCAAGCGUUGCUCGGAAUCACUGGGCGUAAAGGGCGCGUAGGCGGGAUGGCAAGUCGGUCGUGAAAUCCUUCGGCUCAACCGAAGAACGUCGGCCGAUACUGCCGUUCUUGAGGGAUGCAGAGGAGAUUGGAAUUCCCGGUGUAGCGGUGGAAUGCGUAGAGAUCGGGAAGAACAUCAGUGGCGAAGGCGGCCUGCUGGGCUGUUGCUGACGCUGAGGCGCGACAGCGUGGGGAGCAAACAGGG